rnacentral:rRNA from 1 species
AUACUGAAGGUGCAAGCGUUAAUCGGAAUCACUGGGCGUAAAGCGCUCGUAGGUGGCUUUGUAAGUCAGGUGUGAAAGCCCACGGCUCAACCGUGGAAUUGCACUUGAUACUGCAUCGCUAGAGUAUAGGAGAGGGAAGUGGAAUUUCUGGUGUAGGAGUGAAAUCCGUAGAGAUCAGAAGGAACACCCGUGGCGAAGGCGACUUCCUGGACUAUUACUGACACUGAGGAGCGAAAGCGUGGGGAGCAAACAGGAUUAGAUACCCUGGUAGUCCACGCCGUAAACGAUGGGUACUAGGUGUUGGGGGCUUGACCCUCGGUGCCGUAGUUAACGCGUUAAGUACCCCGCCUGGGGAGUACGGUCGCAAGGCUGAA